rnacentral:lncRNA from 1 species
CAGAGACAUGUCCAUCUUGUGUAGAUUAUAAUCAACUAUAAAUUAUGAUAACAUUUCAGGAAGAGUCUCAAUGACCAUGUCAAUCUAUGUCUAGGAAUCAACGUCAGCUCCUAAAACCUCUGCAGCAUUGAAGUGACCAAUCAUGGUUAACAUAUGGUCCCUUACAAAUGCUCCUAGUUUCAUGCAUGUGUUCAUAAUUGCCCUAAUGGAGGCUUGCCUAGCUUGUCGAUUUUGAUGUCCAAACAUCUCUUGAAGACUUUCCAUUAUGUCAAAAGCAGUUUGCAUAUUCUGAUGUUUUUGUUGUAACACAUUUGACAUGGAUACCAAAAUGUAACAACGGGCCAUCUCAUCAGAAUGAUGCCAUUUUUCAUAUGCAGCCUUUUGAGAUUCCGUGGAGUCAUCUUUAGGAGCUUCGGGACAAACUCCAUCCAGCACAUAUUUGUAUUUUUCAGCGGUAAGAACAUUAUUAAGAUUCUUUUUCCAAUCAACAUAAUUUUAUCCCACAAGUUGAUUUUUGUUAAGUAUUACUGAUAAUGGAUUAAGC